CUCACCAGGUCAGGACACGGUAAGGAUUGACGGACUGAAGGCUCUUUCUCGAUUCCGUGGAAAGUGGUGCAUGGCCGUUUUUGGUUGGUGGAUCGAUCCGUCUGGUUAAUUCCGUUAACGAACGAGACCUCGGCACUCCGAAUAGCGCGGCGGACGUCGCGGCCUCCGGGCCGUCUUCCGCACGAGCUUCUUAGAGGGACCGUCCCCCGCCGGGGAAGGAGGUGCGAGGCAACGACAGGUCUGUGAUGCCCUUAGAUGUUCUGGGCCGCACGCGCAUUACACUGACGCGUCCAACGGGUGACUCCCGACCCGAAGGGGCCGGGGAAUCCGCAAGGCGCGUCGUGAUGGGGAUUGAACGUUGCAAUUGUUGUUCACGAACGAGGAAUUCCUAGUAGGCGCGGGGUCAUCAACCCGCGCCGAUUACGUCCCUGCCCUUUGUACACACC
rnacentral:rRNA from 1 species